CAAGAAGCCGAAAGGCUACUUAAAACCAUCGCGAACUUAUCCAAGUUGCUUCGGCGGCGCGGCUCCCCUCACGGGGGACCGCAGCCCCCGCCUCUCAGGAGGUAAGGGGCUAGCCGCCGGAGGUACGAAACUCUGUAUUAUAGUGGUAUCUCUGAGUAUAAAACAAAUAAGUUA
rnacentral:misc_RNA from 1 species